GAUGAACGCUGGCGGUAUGCUUAACACAUGCAAGUCGAACGGACUCUUCGGAGUUAGUGGCGGACGGGUGAGUAACGCGUGAGAAUCUGGCUUUGGGUUCGGGACAACCACUGGAAACGGUGGCUAAUACCGGAUGUGCCGAGAGGUAAAAGAGAAAUUGCCUGAAGAUGAGCUCGCGUCUGAUUAGCUAGUUGGUGAGGUAAAGGCUCACCAAGGCAGCGAUCAGUAGCUGGUCUGAGAGGAUGACCAGCCACACUGGGACUGAGACACGGCCCAGACUCCUACGGGAGGCAGCAGUGGGGAAUUUUCCGCAAUGGGCGAAAGCCUGACGGAGCAAUACCGCGUGAGGGAAGAAGGCUCUUGGGUUGUAAACCUCUUUUCUUAGCGAAGAACAAAAUGACGGUACCUAAGGAAUCAGCAUCGGCUAACUCCGUG
rnacentral:rRNA from 1 species